GACAGCCAUGUUUUAGUCUCUGUCCUUUGGUGCGAGAUAAGGAUACGUACGGAGAGGUUGUUCAAGAUUAAAGCCAAAGCAGAGUUCCAAUCCUGUGUGAUGCAUUGCUUGUGUAAAACACAACAAGGACCUUCGUUCGGGUAUUUAUUUAUUUUCACUGCUAGCUGAAAGAAAAUUGCACCAUGUGCACCGGCUUCGCGGUCCGAGCACGUGGGCUGGCAAGGACACAAGAAAUGGAGGCUGACCAAAUGGGGGUUCGUUUUUAAUCGGUUCAUACAACCCGGCUGAUUCUGAAGAACAAAGCAACAAUCAUGAGCAUCAAGAUGGAUGCCGAGUGGCUGCUGGUUAAGUCAGUAGUUAUUAGGUGAUGCUGCAGUGUUGAAUGAGAAUCACAUCUACUGAUGCCAUGUCAUGCAAAUUGCUCCUGUUUGUUAGCCCACAGUUUCCAAGACUGCUUCCAUGGUUACUGGAGAAAGGCACCCAUUCGGUGAUGUAGCCAUAGACGGAAUGUCUUGCUUCAGAUCAUCUGCUCUUGUCCGUGGGGAUGUUUGGAAAGUGAACUCUGAAUGAAAGCUAAAGCUUCACUGAUCAUCAUUCUGGCUAUAUACAAACUAGAGGGCUGUUUCACAAAUCCAGGAUAGCGGAUUAAGCUGGGAUUUUCUGGAUAUCCUGUCUUAAUUAAACCUCAAUUCAGUGUUACAAAAAAGUUACCAUGGUGAUUUAUUCUGUGAAGCUAGCCUGCUCCAGACCAGGCUAGCAGCUAGGCUUAGUUAAGCCUGGAAUUGUAUCUGUUCAGUCAGCAGUCACAGCAAUCGGAAACCAAGGAGUUUUGUCCAUGAUUCCAUUUUCUUAUCUGCAUGUAUUGAUUUUUUUUUUUUUAAUCACCCUGCAUUAAAACACCUCUAAUUCAUUUUGGUAUUCAGUCAGGUACUAUUAUUUUUACAGUAUACCAUUAGAAAACACAAUUAUCAAUUUUAAAAUGACCCAUACUCUGCAUGGGUCAAACUGUGUUUCUGAAGAAACAGUUUCUAAAGACCGCUGUUCUAUAUGAAACAAAAAUAUAAACGUCGAAUAUUGUUGCCAUGUGGAGUUAACAACUGUAAAUGAGCAUUUGCUGACAUUUUAUUGUACAAAAGUAAUAUUUCUCCUGAUUUGUGUAUAAUUUUUAAUCCAACUUGCUGUCAGUGAGCAUUACCCAGUGCAUGGGUGAGGCAUGUCCAGUGGGUGAUCAGACAAAAUGAGCAACAGCUGGACAAUCCUUGGACUGGGGACAAUAAAACGCCAACCCAAAAUGGAAAGUUUUGUCACAAGUCAUAAUGCCUCAGAUGUCUCAAGUUAUGCUGGGCAUGCCUUUGGCAUGUUGGAUGUAGGAACAUCCACCAGAGCAGUAGCUGCACGGCUCAAUAUCCAUUAUCGAACUAUAGGCCGUUUAAGAGUUUGUUUCUAACAGACUGGCACAACUGCUAAUCGACCUCAUCACAUGUCGGCCAUGUGUGACAACUCAGAACAAAAGGAUCACAGCUUAAAGGAGCAGUUAACUACAGGUAAAAUUAAAGACGAUACUUCCCAGAUAUUGCACAUUGUUAUAUUUCAUUUUGGUCUGUAUAAAUAUCUAGAAUGGGGAACAGAACAGAGUAACGCGAAGGAAUUUGCUGUCAGUUGAACAUAUUAUAUUGACUUUCACUGUUAAUUUAUUAGGUUUAUAAUUUUUCAUUUGUGAAAAUCUCAUGUAUGAUUAUGAGAAUAAUUGGGAAAUAUAUAUUUUAGGAUAGUUACGUAUUCAAUUGAUCUGCUAUCGUUCGCUCUUGUAACGGCAAUUUUUCUUUUGUAUGAUGUACUUCAAUUCCUCAUAAACCUCAAUAAAAAGAUGCUGUUUGUUUGGUGUGAGGUCUGGUGUACGCAGUUUAUUUAGCGUAGCAUUAGUGGAUCUGUGAUGGAUUUCAUUGGUCUCUUGAAGAAAUCUGUUGACGGACAUUCACCUGAAUUAUUUAAGCCUGGCUUAAUAGCUGCACCUCUUGAGCCUGGUUUGGUCUUUGAAACGGAUAGAGCCAGAAUGAACUGAUAGUGCUAUGUCAGGCCUAGCUAUCUCUCUUCUCCUGGAUUUCUGAAUCUUACCUUUGUGAAACAACCUUCAGGCAGCAAGCAACAAAAAUGAAAAGGAAAUUUUUAAAAUCAGGUUGACUUAACUAUGUCAGAGUUGUUAAUGGUUUGUUAUCCCUGAAGCAACAUAAUUGUUUUUCAGUGUAUGUUGAUUGUAUGUCAAAUAAACACUAUUUAAAUGUCCAUACCACACAGUGCAUACUUUGCUCAAGGCAAAGUAUGUCUGAAAUAAAGCCUGACAUAAUUUAAAGUCUAUAUUUUUCUUCUCUGUGUGUGAUUUGGAAUGUAGUUGAUGCAUUUACCUAAAUGUUCACAAACUUAUAAAGUUGAACAAAGGCAAUUUAGUAAACUACAAAUGCAGUUAACUACCUGGGGCAGCAGCAUCAGAAUCAGGGACCUAAAAAGACUCAACAGCCUGAUAAAGAAGGCUGGUUCUGUUCUGGGGGUGACUGGAGCCUCUGAAGAUGAUGAUGAAAAGAAGGAUCCUUCAUGAAAUCAAGGCGAUUAUAGACAACUCUGACCCUCCUCUUCAUGAGGCUGUCUUGGUAAAACUGUAGGACGUCAUACUAAUAGCGACUUCAACGCAACCUUUGGCCAAAUUGUAAUCUUUGUAUUUGGGGUUAAGGGUUUAUGUCUUCUGGAUUUCAUGCCACACAGUCUUCCGGUGACUUUUAUUUUGAAGGUUAAUCUGUUGUGUCGCCUUUCUGCUGUAAGGCAGUAGACCUCUAGUUGGAAAUGCGUGGCAUCGGUCUUCUUCAGGUUGUCUGUUUAGUUUCUCUUCGACUUCAGGCACUUUAAAACUACACGCCCCAUAUGUUAAGAAUGUAACUGAGGUAUCUGAGGAAAAGCGUACAAGGGCAGCAGCAGAUGUGAUAAGCUAACCUGGCUGAAAAGGUGUGAGAUUCGGAGUAAUGCCUUUCGGAAUACCAGGAGUCCAGGAAGUUCGUCUCGAGACCCCAAAAUUGAACAGUAGCUGGAAAUAAGCUUAGCUAGGUGUGAUACUGACUUACUGAAAACAACCUGGAGAGCCCACAGUGCUAUAAACAUAGCAAAAUGCUAUGUUUAUAACUGAUAACUGAUGACUGAUGGCUAUGUAUAGGAGAGAUACUGCUUGUCAAGGGCAGAUUUAGCAAUGUACAGAGGCCAAGCCGCCUCUUGAAUUGCUGAACGGGUUCAACACGCCUUACGGGUGUGUCUAGCCGGGAACGUUAUUUUUGUCCUGGCUUGAAUCUUCGAGGUAUAUUGGCAUUAGAGAAACUGCAGGGGGCGAUUAUCUCUCCAAUUCGUUUUGGUUAAACUUUUAAUAAGUAAUGUCUUCUAUAGUGGGAAGAGCGUGGGGGUGGGUGCGCUUCUGGGGUAGUUGUACCUCAGAAAAUACCCCUACGUUGUGCCAAAAGCAGCGUGCUAAAGGUAACUGGGGAUCUUGGAUGUGGGGAGGGUGGAGAAAAGGAAGUGACCAGAGUGCUCUAGGAGAGGAGUACUGGGAGGCACAGGAGAAAUUGCAACCCAUGGAAAUAGAAGAUCUUGGCUCAGGAAAACCAGAGACAGAGCUACAGGUGUCCAGUUGGUGGAGCAAAUAUCUCCCCACGUCAUAUCUGUGGUCAAGAAAACCUUCUCAAAGCAGCCUGAGACAAAGGAAAGGUGAUGUUGAUGGGGACUUUUCUGAUUAUGGAACCCCUCCCCCAUCUCCCACUCCUUCUCAGCUGACCUCUCCAUUCAGAUUUUUCACAGAUAGCUGGAAUUUGGAGAUUAUACCAGAGCACUAUGAGAUUUGCUUCAACUUCCUUCGGCAUUUGUUUGACCUAUUUGUAGUUGCCUUCCUGUGGACUGUGUCCCCUCCUGCCAAACUGAUCCUGGAGGUGUUUGGUGUCCAGGGAGCUCUCAGGCUGUGGUUUCAUGGCAUGGCCAUGUUUUUUGUCUCAACAGCUGGAAUGGCAGGAUUGCUGUGGUUGAUUCAGGAGUAUCUCCCUCAGUUUGCUUUGAUUUAUGGCAUCAUACAAGCAUUGGUGAUCUCUGUCAGUGUACGGCAAAGUGUAAUCCUUGGAGUGGAAGAAGACAAAGAAAAUAUCCAGGAGGUGAAAGAGACUGGUGAAAAGCAAGACACUGCAGACAAUGGAGAUAAGCUUUUUUCUAAGGAACUGCUGAAGACAAGCUUAGCCUAAGGUGAUGCAGGAAUCCAGCUGCUUCAGCCUUUCUCCAAAUGUUUGACUCCACAGACACUGACAGAUUGUGUAUACCACUAAAUUCAUUAGUUAUAAUCAUAGUUCACUUUGAUUUAGUUUGGAGAAGUUGUUUCUCUUUGUUUUGCCUGAAAUAGUGUCUGUAUUCUGCAAACAUCUACUCAUCACCGUGAAUGUUUAUAAUCCAACUGUAAAUGCUGAGAAUGCUGGGUAUAUGAGUGUUGAGGAGAUGCUACUGUAUGUCAAAUAACAGUCUAGAAAAUAGCCAGGACUUGGUGCCUGUACUGAUAUUUACAUUUAAUUUGUUGUCGUUUACUAUUCUCAUUGGCUCUCAAAAGUCUACUCCCACUUAUUAAAAUACCCAUUAUUGUGAUGUGAAAAAUAUGAUCAUGGUAAAUCAUUUAAAUAUUUUCCACAUAAUGACAUAUGUGCUGCACAGUUCAAGUGGAUAAUAAACAAAUGUGUUAAAAGGAAAAGUAUAAAAGGUCCAAUAACCCAGUUGCAGAAGUGUGUUUGUUCCACCUUUUUCUUUGCACAGUUAAAUCCUUUGUCCCCUCUGCAAAUUAUGGCUUUAGCUAAAGGUGGAGAAUGUUUGAAAUGAUUUAUCAUUGUCUCACUUUACAUCACAAAACCCUGCUGAUGUAACAGGUUUGUAGACUUUUAAGAGCCACUGUGAUGAACCAGCUGUAAGAUUUGAAAUUGAAACAAAUUAACAGGAAAAAUUCAUAAGACGCCAACAUACACUCCAAAUGUAAAUCAUCACCUUGCCUCUUAUUAAUCUUACUUUCCCCCAAGUGACAUGCAAUUAAGACAUUUUAGGAUUGCUAAGCAAAGGAUUUACUGAAGGUGAAUUUGGGAAGCACUAACUGCAUAUUUAGACUCACUACAACUUGUAGUGAGACUAAAUGCUCACUACAAGUUGAGUAUUUUGUACAAAUUGUAGUACAAGCACCACAACUUGUACAACUACAAUCUGAAAAUAAUCUGAAAAUAUCGAGCUCCUCUGCCUUCUCCUAGUGUUUCCAACACCACUCUGUCAGAAACAAGCAAUCAGCCUGGAGGAGGGUCUCUGUGCUGUCAAUCACACAUGUGCAUGCAAUGCUCUCUGCUAUAUCUUCUUCUCAAGAGCACAGCCUGCCAUGAAUGCCAAGGCUUGUUAGCAUUCAUGGCAGCAGAUAAACAGUUUUCCUUUAAUGUUAAGUUGUUUCUCCACCAUUUGCACAUUGAGUUGCGCAUACACAAGCAUGGUUGACAGUGCUAUGACACUCCUCUUUCUAGUUUUGAAUGAAAGCAGUGCAUUUCUUCAGAUGCCAAUAGCAGUACAGGAAGGAGGUGGAGGAGAUCAGUUCCUUCACAGAUUAUCUGUCUUACUGUCAUGACAUGUACAACUUUUUUUUAUUUUAUUUUAACAAAACUUUUUUUUUUUUUUUGAAAAAAAUGAAAGUUACAUACUGCAGCUUUAAAAGUCUGUUUAACAAAAGAGGACAAUCCAGUUGAGCCACAGUCUUGAACAUCUUAUUUUUUCCUGUUAUUACACUCUGGUAUUAGAACUUUAACACUACACACUUCAAACUAGAUUUUUUUUCUUGUGAUGUAUUUUGUUGGACUGCGGUUUCAUGUAAAGGUACCUUUGCUGUUGUGAAUUUCAGACUUUAGUUCAGGAAUUGAAAACCUAUGAGGCAUUUGGAGCAUCCAGUACAUACAUUCCAAAAUAUACUGUUCAUAUAAUCUAAAUAUGUCUUUUACUUUCCAUUGAUUAUAUAUUUGGAUUAUAAUAACAAUAUAGAUUAUGUGGAAAUACAUGAUUGGUUCAUUGUUUUCCAAGCUACAGAGAAACUAGCUUUACCUGAAAUAAAUUCUGCUUUCUCAACAUUUUAAAGGGUGCCUUGAACUUAAUUUUUGAAUAUAUUAAAGUAUUGGUUCUUAAAUGUUUCAUUUUCACAUGUUUUUUCAAACAGGUUUUUACUGUUGAAUGUUAAAGCAAUUGUCUUUUUCAGAAUUAUUAAACUAACAAGCAGCACAGUAAAGUAUUGUUGAUUCUUCAUGUUGACUCGAAGGCACCAAAAUGGAAAUUAAUAAAAUAAUCUGGUUUUAUUGCAUGAUUGCACUCUUAGCACUUUUCCUUUGUUUAGCCCGAGGAUAUGGAAUUAUUUGGAACUGUGUAGAUGCUUGCAAGACAUUGAAGCCUGUCCAGUGAAAGUUAUACGUCAUUGUUUUCAGGGCCAAUAAUACACAAUAAAGUUGGUAAUAAAAACUAGUGUUCAGUAUUUUCCUGAGCACAAAAGUAAUUGGAUUAAAUUAUUGUGAUGUGUGGUAGCAAACUAUUAGCUAUACACUGUACAUUGAAUUUUUGUUGGACUUUUUUUUUUAAAUCACAAAAAGGCUUGCUUAUAGGAAGUGUAUUUUUCAUGUUCUAUAAAUAUUCCAAAGGUGAAUGUAAGUGUUCCUGACUAAAACUGGAAGGGAAAUUUAAAGUAAACCUUUAAAUUUGUCUCACAGAUAAGCCUAUUGUAGCCUUUUCUCCACCUAAAUUUCUCCCAACUGUUUCAGUACAUUUAGGACAGACAACAUCCAAGGGUCUGUCUAUGCUAACCUUUUUUUAUGUUUGCUUGUGGUUGUGAAACUUUUUUUUUACAGUAAAACUAAGACCCAAGAUAUUUUUAAAUGAGCACCAUUGCACCUUGCAAGUGUAGAUCACUAUAGGGAGAGCCUCACUAUUGGCUGCACUGUGAAGUUAACUGAUGGACCUUAGAGAAGUACAAUAUGUGCUUUAUGUUGUUCUGUAAUAUCUGCAUAUGAAAGAUGUGAAUACUUUGUAAUUAAAGUCAAUCUUGCUUUAGAUUUA